UGAUGUGGGCAGGGGAGCUAGAAAGGCUGGCUGAGAUUUAGACCCGAUAAGGUCUAAGACCCUUUUAACCUGAUCUGGAUAAUGCCAGCGUAGGUAAGCAGUUUUUACUCUUU
rnacentral:ncRNA from 2 species